GACGAACGCUGGCGGCGUGCUUAACACAUGCAAGUCGAACGGAAAGGCCCUGCUUUUGUUGGGGGCUCGAGUGGCGAACGGGUGAGUAACACGUGAGUAACCUGCCCUUGACUUUGGGAUAACUUCAGGAAACUGGGGCUAAUACCGGAUAGGAGCUCCUGCUGCAUGGUGGGGGUUGGAAAGUGUCGGCGGUUGGGGAUGGACGCGCGGCGUAUCAGCUUGUUGGUGGGGUAGGGGCUGACCAAGGCUUUGACGGGUAGCCGGCCUGAGAGGGUGACCGGCCACAUUGGGACUGAGAUACGGCCCAGACUCCUACGGGAGGCAGCAGUGGGGAAUAUUGCACAAUGGGCGGAAGCCUGAUGCAGCAACGCCGCGUGCGGGAUGACGGCCUUCGGGUUGUAAACCGCUUUCGCCUGUGACGAAGCGUGAGUGACGGUAAUGGGUAAAGAAGCACCGGCUAACUACGUG
rnacentral:rRNA from 1 species